UACGGAAGGCGGCAGUGGGGAAUAUUGCACAAUGGGCGCAAGCCUGAUGCAGCCAUGCCGCGUGUAUGAAGAAGGCCUUCGGGUUGUAAAGUACUUUCAGUCGUGAGGAAGGUGUUAAGGUUAAUAACCUUAGCAAUUGACGUUAGCGACAGAAGAAGCACCGGCUAACUCCGUGCCAGCAGCCGCGGUAAUACGGAGGGUGCGAGCGUUAAUCGGAAUUACUGGGCGUAAAGGGCACGCAGGCGGUUAAUUAAGUUGGAUGUGAAAUCCCCGGGCUUAACCUGGGAAUGGCAUUCAAGACUGGUUAGCUAGAGUCUUGUAGAGGGGGUAGAAUUCCAUGUGUAGCGGUGAAAUGCGUAGAGAUGUGGAGGAAUACCGGUGGCGAAGGCGGCCCCUGGGACAAAGACUGACGCUCAUGUGCGAAAGCGUGGGGAGCGAAACAGGGAUUAGAUACC
rnacentral:rRNA from 1 species